AUGGCCAGCCCAGCUCCGCUGCACAAGAUGGCCACCAGCCCAGCACCGCUGCACAAGAUGGCAGCCGCUGCUGAUCUUCCAGAGUCAGGUCAGGUCCCCGUCGACUUUCCAGAGUCAGGUCAGGUCCCAGUCGAUCAGGUCCCUGAUGACUUCCCAGAGUCAGGUCAGGUCACCGUUGACCGUCCAGCUUCAGGUCAGGUCACCGUUGACCGUCCAGCAUCAGGUCAGGUCACCGUUGACUGUCCAGUGUCAGGUCAGGUCAUGUCAGCAUUGACCGUCCAGAGUCAGGUCAGGUCACCGUUGACCGUCCAGAGUCAGGUCAGGUCCCCACUAACACACAAGAGUCAAGCAAAACAACAGUUAAACUUCAUGAGUCAAGUCAGGUCACCACUAACACCCAAGAGUCAAGUGAGACAACAGUUAAACUUCAAGAGUCUCUUAAAAGGUCACCGUUGACCAUCCAGAGUCAGGUCAAGUCACCAUUAACACCCAUGAGUCAAGUGAAACAACAGUUAAACUUUAUGAGUCAAGUCAGGUCACCACUAACACCCAAGAGUCAAGUGAAACAACAGUUAAACUUCAUGAGUCUAGUCAGGUCACCGUUGACCAUCCAGAGUCAGGUCAAGUCUCCGCUGACCGUCCAGAGUCAGGUCAAGUCACCAUUAACACCCAUGAGUCAAGUAAAACCACAGUUAAACUUCAUGAGUCAAAGCAAGUCACCAUUAACCUCCGUGAACUAAGUCAAGUCACAGUUGAUCCUCAUGAGCACAGUCAAGUCACCAACGAUCUUCAUGAGCCAAGUCACUCUAACCUCCGUGAGUUAAGUCAAGUCACAGUUGAUAUUCAUGAGCCAAGUCAAGUCACCAACGAUCUUCAUGAACCAAAUCAAACCACAGUUGAUCUUCAGGAACCAAGUCAAGUCACAGUUGAUCUUCAGGAACCAAGUCAAGUCACAGUUGAUCCUCAUGAGUACAGUCAAGUCACCAACGAUCUUCAUGAGCACAGUCAAGUCACCAACGAUCUUCAUGAGCCAAGUCAAGUCACCAUUAACCUCCAUGAGUUAAGUCAAGUCACAGUUGAUCUUCAUGAGCCAAGUAAAGUCACAGUUGAUCUUCAGGAACCGAGUCAAGUCACAGUUGAUCCUCAUGAGCACAGUGAAGUCACCAACGAUCUUCAUGAGCCAAGUCAAGUCACCAUUAACUUCUGUGAGUUGUCAAGUCACCAUUAACCUCCGUGAGUUAAGUCAAGUCACAGUUGAUCUUAAUGAGACAAGUCAAGUCACCAAUGAUCUUCAUGAGCCAAGUCAAGUCACCAAUGAUCUUCAUGAGCCAAGUCAAGACACAGUUGAUCAUCAUGAGUCAAGUCAAGUCACAGUUGAUCAUCAUGAGUCAAGUCAAGUCACAGUUGAUCUUCAUGAGCCGUCAAGUCACAGUUGAUCUUCAUGAGCCAAGUCAAGACACAUUUGAUCUUCAUGAGCCAAGUCAAGUCACAGUUGAUCUUCAUGAGCCAAGUCAAGUCACAGUUGAUCUUCAUGAACUAAGUCAAGUCACAGUUGAUCUUCAUGAACUAAGUCGAGUCACCAGGACUUUAGGAGGUUAAGGUGAUAGAUCUGACGUGCCCUGUUCCUAUCAGACUCUAUUACCUCAUAAUCGAGAUCUCUGACUUGUCGUGCAACCUCAAACGCUCCCUGCCACUUAGCCAUUAACUUAGAGCUCGACGUUGGGAGUAAUACAAGUACUUUCUCUCCCGUUGGAAAUUUGCGUAAUCUAGUUCCCCUGUUAUACAGCUGCCUCCGGGGGUCCUGGGCUUGUAACAAAUUCUCCAUUGAUAGCCGCCCCAAAGUGUGGAGUUUUGUUCUCAAAUCCAGCACAUACUGAAUUUCGUUUUUGCCUUGAGAUGGCCCCUCCUCCCAAGUUUCUCUCAGAACACCCAGCAUCCCUCUAUGGAGUCCAUAGAGAAGCUCAAAGAGGGAAAUUAACUGACGGAACUGACAUUCCGGACAAGAUGCACACCUCCUGCGCACGUUGUCGUGAAUGGCCGUCCAAAAGAAACAGGUCAUGAGGCAAUUCAGUGUUGCUGCCUGUCCCUGCGGCUCUUCAGAAUCAACAACUGGGUUGUAUUCACUUUUGUCUGAGCAUCUUGGGUCACUCGAUUCAACCGAUCUCUUAAAAUGGCAAAAUACGGAUAGGUGAGUGGGUGGGCAGGUUGGAGAGACUGGCCAUCGAAGGAGCGGACCUGUUGAAAAGCGUGUUUUAAUGUCUCAUACUGAGACUGCUCCAGAGGAAAGUCAUCACACUCCGUGAGAAUAAGUCUCCCGAUUUCGUUUGGUUCCCCUGAAGCAGAACCCACUGGUGCCUUAUUUCCACAAGAGGAAUCCGCACAUAACAACCCCAAUAAAACAGUAAACAUGGGCCAA
rnacentral:lncRNA from 1 species